ensembl:snRNA U6 U6 spliceosomal RNA
GUACUCGCUUCGGCAGCAUAUAGAGUACAAUUAGAAUGUUGUAGAGAACAUUAACGUGGCCCCUGCACAAAGAUGACACUCAAAUUUGUGAAGCAUUCCAUAUUUCU